GUUAUUAUGGUUCCAAUCCCAUUUUUCGUAGCAAGAUGGAAAAUAGAGAGUGUGAAAUACGCAUAGUAAACGGAACGAGUUGUGUGUUUUAUCGCUAUAUGCAUUCAGUUAAACAUGGAGUUUGGUUUAUUAAUCCUCCUGAGUGUUUAAAAAGUAAAGGAGAAGGUAAAUGUAUUGCUAAGUUUACAAAAACAAUGGGUAAUUUUUAUGGUAUAUUACAAUAUUGUGUAGUUAUAAAUAAUGAAGAAUAUAUUUUGAAUGUACGUUUUGAUAUUCCAUUAUUAGGUGAUAAUACUGCUAUGGCUGUUUUAGGUAUAAGUAUAAAAAAUAGUGUAAAACAAAUAUUAUCACAUCAGAAUUAUUUUUUAGUUAAGCAUAGUUUUGAUAAUAUGUAUAAUAGUAAAUUUUAUAUAAAUAUAAUAGAGACAGAAGAAGGGAAAAAGUUUGUUGAAUAUCAUAAAAGAAAAUUAAAAAAAGGUUUAUUAAGAGUGUUAAGUAUAAGAAAUAUAGAAGAAAAAGAAAAAUUAAGAAAAGCAAAUAUGGCUAAUUCGAUAAAAAAGUAUGACAAUAAUGGUAUGAAUAGUAAUAAUAGUAUUAUAUCUGGUAAUAAUCAUAAUAACAAUUUUUAUAAUAAUAGUAAUGUAGAAGGUGUUAGUAAUGUUGAUAGUAGUAUAUUAAUAAAUGGAAAUUGGUUAUAUAAUAAUAAUAGUAGUAAUAAUUUGUAUCAGUCCAAAGAAAACAUAAUGGAAAUUUUACCAAUUAGCUUUAUUGUUAAUAUAAAAAAUUAUGAAUGGAAAAAAAGAUUAAGAAAAGCUCAUAAAUCUUUAUAUAUUUUGAUAAUUAAUUUUACAAAACAAACUUUAGUUUUAUCCACCUCUAAAGGGAAUAGUAAAUCAACUUCAUUAAUAGAAGGUAAUUGGGUAGAGCUUCCUUAUGAGAAGAUAUGUCCAUUACGUUGUAGUGAGUUUGGCUGUAAUAGUGAUGGUAUGUUUUCAAGUAUUAAUGGCAAUUGUACAUAUAAUUUUAUGAGUGAAUCAUGUUAUUUGAAUAUUUAUUGGGAUAUUAAUAGUGUAAAUUCUAAAAUUAAAUGUAGUAUAAAAAAUACUACAAAAUAUACUAUAAUAAAAAAUGUAGAAAUAUAUAAUGAAUGUACAGCUGUUUUUCAUGUUUUAGAAUAUUAUUAUUAUCCUCCUGUAAAAAUAUUAGAAUGUAGAGCUAUAACAAAUAAUAUUAUAAAUGAAUAUGGUAUAACCAAAAAUAAUUUAGAUUCUAAUAUGAAUAUAAUACAUCAAUGUAGUAUAAAUGUAAUAAGACAAUUCUGCCAAUACACGCAAAAUAAUAAUACAUCCUAUGAAAAUUAUUCAGAUGAAGAGUUUGUAAAUAUUAAUCCUUUUUUAAAAAAAACGAUUCGCAAUCACGANNNNNNNNNNNNNNNNNNNNNNNNNNNNNNNNNNNNNNNNNNNNNNNNNNNNNNNNNNNNNNNNNNNNNNNNNNNNNNNNNNNNNNNNNNNNNNNNNNNNCCUACCUACACGACGCACUACCGACACACAUGCAAAACAAAUAUUCAUUCUCUACUAACAGUACAAGUGAAAAAAAAAAAAAAAAAAAAAAAAAAAAAAAGCCAUUUAUUUGGACGUAUUACUAAUGCAGACGGAACUGUUAAUAAAUCAUAUGAUAGUAAAAAAAAAAUAUCAGGUAAUACCAUUAUAAAUAAUACAAGUUCAGAUGAUGAUGAUGAUGAUGAUAAUAGUAGUGACAAUAGCAAUAGUAGCGGUAGUAGUAAUAGUACUAAUAACAAUCAUAUAGAUAUUUCUGAUGUGAAUGAUUUAAUACAUAAAAAUUUUAGACGCAAUAUUAAUGAUAAAAAUUUUAAUUUAUUAAAAAAAAGAAAUACUACUUCUAAUAGUUUAUUAUAUAUAAAUAUGAAAAAUAUUUUUACAAAUAUCAGCGUAACAGCUGUUCGUGAUUUUUUUUGUUAUAUGCAUGGAAAUAAUUAUUCAAAUAAUAUAUCUAUUAAUUCACAUUUGUAUAUAUCAUGGAAUAUAGGUAAUAUUAUUUAUCAAAAUUUAUAUAGUUCUAGUGAAAACAUUACUAUUAACGCUCAUAGUUUAAUAAGUAGUAAUAAUAUUAAUGACGAUGUUAUAUUAAAAUUAAAAAUUGAU
rnacentral:lncRNA from 1 species